UACGUAGGGUGCAAGCGUUGUCCGGAAUUAUUGGGCGUAAAGAGCUCGUAGGCGGUCUGUCGCGUCGGCUGUGAAAACCCGGGGCUCAACCCCGGGCCUGCAGUCGAUACGGGCAGACUAGAGUGCGGUAGGGGAGACUGGAAUUCCUGGUGUAGCGGUGAAAUGCGCAGAUAUCAGGAGGAACACCGGUGGCGAAGGCGGGUCCCUGGACAACACCUGACACUGAGGCACGAAAGCUAGGGGAGCAAACAGG
rnacentral:rRNA from 1 species